rnacentral:rRNA from 1 species
UACGUAGGCAGCGAGCGUUGUUCGGAGUUACUGGGCGUAAAGGGUGUGUAGGCGGUUCUUUUAAGUUUGGUGUGAAAUCUCCCGGCUCAACCGGGAGGGUGCGCCGAAUACUGAGGGACUAGAGUAUGGGAUGGGAAAGUGGAAUUCCUGGUGUAGCGGUGAAAUGCGUAGAUAUCAGGAGGAACACCUGUGGUGUAGACGCUUUCUGGACCAUAACUGACGCUGAGACACGAAAGCGUGGGUAGCAAACAGG